rnacentral:SRP_RNA from 1 species
CCGUGCUAGCCGGGGAGGUAGCGGCGCCCUGUACCCACAAUCCGCUAUAGUGGGGGUGAUGUCUGUUCUCGGUGCAGCGUUUGAUAGUCUGCCCAUGGGAAGCGGCGUUGAUGCUCGGGUCUUACGCAACAGGAGCCUGUGAAUCGUGUCAGGGUCGGAAGGCAGCAGCACUAAGCAGUCUACUUCUGUGUGUUGUGAGGGUGCCAGAGAGGAGUCGCAGAACAUGGUAACGUGUUGGGCGGUGCAACAAAAACAGAUGCACGG